UGUCAUUGUAUAGAAAAUUCAAGGAGAUACUGUAGCUCUUGUAGUUUUUUUAAAAUGAUGUUUAUAAAAACUUUGAAAAUUCCCCAAAAAUCCUUGGAUAAUUGAAAUAUCCUGAAAUUUGGUGGGCUAACAGUGAUAAACAUGUUCUACAAUUGUCACAAGUUUUACUCCAAUAGCUGUAAAAAUGAGGGAGAAAGGAGCCCCGGAAGCCCCCCGGUUGCCUAAUUAUAGGUAGAAAUGCAGUUUUAUCACCAGAAGAUGAAUACAAGUUCAGAUGGACAAAAACCAACAUAAUUUAACCAUUGAGGUUAAAGAAUUUAAACUUUUUCCAACUGGCUUUACUAAGGCAGUACUCUCUUGACAGAGAGAUGAUGAAGCUGCUAAUUAAGUGUGGCGUUUUAAAAUGUACUUUAAAAAAAUCACAUAGAGCUAAAACAUGUAGAGUUAGAAAUGGUACAGAAAAGGGUAAUCGAAGGGAUCAAGGCACUCAAUCAAUUUCAUUAUGGAAAAGGUUAAAGCACUUAAGACUUUGCAUGUGCAUAGUUAAAUACAAAUAGUGCAGAUAAGGAUUUGUACUCAUGUCCAGAGACGGUUCAACCGAGAGGCAAUAUAGUCAUUUGCCUGUGGCGCCGCCCUCCUGGGGGGCGCCCUCGGGCCAUCGCACCACCCCCCACCUCCUUUCCCUUUGGCCCGGGCCUUCGGGAAGGCCCAGGCAGGCCGCAGCAGUAAGGCCAGCUAAAUCACGGCCCUCUUUCAGGACGUGGCGCCCAGAUGCCACGCCUUCCUUCUAUCAAGGAAUUACCUAGACUGAAUCCACAUGAGAGAUAUAUCCCAGCUCCAGAUAACAUUAUCAUUUCUCACUUGGAUCCCAGUUAAAUCACAUUCUUCUAUUUUAACCUGAACACAAAUUGGACUUGAAAGCCGUACAAUGAGUUCAGCACAAAAGGGCAUUUCUGGCAUCUCCACAUGUUCAAAGUGUUGGACCAUAGCAGCUCAAGAGACAGAAGAACAUUCUGGGCAGAAGAAAAUAUAGAAAUGCUAAAUCACAACAACAUAAAAUUACUUUUUGAAAAAAAAACAGCAACUUUUGACUAUAUGUUUAUUUUUCACCUGCUGAAAGCAAGAAAAGGUUAACUGCUAACAUAUAAAAAUGAUAUUAAGAAUGUGGCUGAAAUGAGAAAAAUGAUUUCUUGCAGGUUGACAUAACUAUACAUGAAAAGCCAAGAGACCGAAGAGCCCAAACCAAUUACUUACUUUAAAGGGAGAAGAUAGAUACUGCUUGCUGCCCAAGAUAUAUUACUGAGCCAGGGAGUUAAGAACAAAAGCUCUCUUAAUCAGUUACUGUAACAAAAUACUUUCUGGGAAGCAUGGGUUUUUUAUUUUUAGGGAUAAUAAAUGAGCCCUCCUGGGCUUUAAAUAUUUGAGGACCCUCAUAAAUCAAAAUGUACUAUAUAUUUGCUUUUUUAUUGUCUUUUCUGUGGAGAACAUAAGUCAAAAGAAUGGUGAGACUUUGUUGUAACUGUUCUAUUACAAAUUGCAAUAUCUUCUACUUUGACAAUCUGUCAGUUCCAUGCACUAGGAGAAAUGUAGUUUCAGAGUUGCACUUAAUGGUCCUCUGCCUUUUUUCUUUUAGCAAUUUUGCCAUUACUUGAUAGGUACAAUAGCG